GACGAACGCUGGCGGCGUGCUUAACACAUGCAAGUCGAGCGGUAAGGCCCCUUCGGGGGUACACGAGCGGCGAACGGGCGAGUAACACGUGGGUGACCUGCCCUCAGCUCUGGGAUAAGCCUGGGAAACUGGGUCUAAUACCGGAUAUGACUCCAUGACGCAUGUCGUGGGGUGGAAAGCCUUGUGCGGCUGGGGAUGGGCCCGCGGCCUAUCAGCUUGUUGGUGGGGUGAUGGCCUACCAAGGCGACGACGGGUAGCCGGCCUGAGAGGGCGACCGGCCACACUGGGGACUGAGACACGGCCCAGACUCCUACGGGAGGCAGCAGUGGGGAAUCUUGCGCAAUGGGCGAAAGCCUGACGCAGCGACGCCGCGUGAGGGAUGACGGCCUGGUGUAAC
rnacentral:rRNA from 1 species